ACCCACGUAUUCGAUCUUGCGAGAGAUAAAGGACAUCUCAAGCUCGGGUUUAUGGGUGU
rnacentral:pre_miRNA from 1 species